UAGGACUUCACCGACAGAAUAAGCACCGGCUAACGUUGUGCCUGCAGCCGCGGUGAUACGGAUGGUGCAAGGGUGAAUCGUAAUUACUGGGCGUAAGGCGCACGCGGGCGGUUUGUUAAGUCAGAUGUGAAAUCCCCGACCUUGGCUUGGGAACUGCAUUUGAAACUGGAAAGCUAGAGUCUUGAAGAGGGGGGUAGAAUUCCAGGUGUACCGGUGAAAUGCUUAGAGAUCUGGAGGAAUACCGGUGGCGAAGGCGGCCCCCUGGACAAAGACUGACGCUCAGGUGCGAAAGCGUGGGGAGCAAACAGGAUUAGAUACCCUGGUAGUCCACGCUGUAAACGAUGUCGACUUGGAGGUUGUGCCCUUGAGGCGUGGCUUCCGGAGCUAACGCGUUAAGUCGACCGCCUGGGGAGUACGGCCGCAAGGUUAAAACUCAAAUGAAUUGACGGGGGCCCGCACAAGCGGUGGAGCAUGUGGUUUAAUUCGAUGCAACGCGAAGAACCUUACCUACUCUUGACAUCCACAGAACUUUCCAGAGAUGGAUUGGUGCCUUCGGGAACUGUGAGACAGGUGCUGCAUGGCUGUCGUCAGCUCGUGUUGUGAAAUGUUGGGUUAAGUCCCGCAACGAGCGCAACCCUUAUCCUUUGUGGCCAGCGCGUAAUGGCGGGAACUCAAAGGAGACUGCCGGUGAUAAACCGGAGGAAGGUGGGGAUGACGUCAAGUCAUCAUGGCCCUCACGAGUAGGGUUACACCCGUGCUACAAUGGCAUAUACAAAGAGAAGCGAACUCGCGAGAGCAAGCGGACCUCAUAAAGUAUGUCGUAGUCCGGAUCCGAGUCUGCAACUAGACUCCGUGAAGUCGGAAUCGCUAGUAAUCGUAGAUCAGAAUGAUACGGGGAAUACGUUCCCGGGCCUUGAUCACACCUCCCGUCACACCAUGGGAGUGGGUUGCAAAAGAAGUAGGUAGCUUAACCUUCGGGAGGGCGUAUACCAGUUUGUGAUUCAAGAGCCGGGU
rnacentral:rRNA from 1 species